UCCGCCUUUGGUGUGCAUU
rnacentral:siRNA from 1 species